UACGAAGGGGGCUAGCGUUGCUCGGAAUCACUGGGCGUAAAGGGUGCGUAGGCGGGUCUUUAAGUCAGGGGUGAAAUCCUGGAGCUCAACUCCAGAACUGCCUUUGAUACUGAAGAUCUUGAGUUCGGGAGAGGUGAGUGGAACUGCGAGUGUAGAGGUGAAAUUCGUAGAUAUUCGCAAGAACGCCAGUGGCGAAGGCGGCUCACUGGCCCGAUACUGACGCUGAGGCACGAAAGCGUGGGGAGCGAACAGG
rnacentral:rRNA from 1 species